rnacentral:rRNA from 1 species
AAUAUUUGACAAUGGGGGGAACCAUGAUCCAGCCAUGCCGCGUGUGAAGAAGGUCNUCNNAUUGUNANGCACAUAAAGUUGGGNNNNNGGGUUGUAGGCAAAUACAUAGCAAUUUUGACGUUACCAACAGAAUAAGCACCGGCUAACUUCGUGCCAGCAGCCGCGGUAAUACGAUGGGUGCAAGCGUUAAGCGGAAUUACCGGGCGUAAAGCGCGCGUAGGUGUUUCGUUAAGUUGGAAGUUAAAGCCCCGGGCUUAACCGGGGAAUUGCUUUCAAAACUGACGAGCUAGAGUACGGUAGAGGGUAGUGGAAUUUCCUGUGUAGCGGUGAAAUGCGUAGAUAUAGGAAGGAACACCAGUGGCGAAGGCGACUACCUGGACUGAUACUGACACUGAGGUGCGAAAGCGUGGGGAGCAAACA